GAUGAACGCUGGCGGCGUGCCUAAUACAUGCAAGUCGAGCGAACAGACGAGGAGCUUGCUCCUCUGACGUUAGCGGCGGACGGGUGAGUAACACGUGGAUAACCUACCUAUAAGAUUGGGAUAACUUCGGGAAACCGGAGCUAAUACCGGAUAAUAUAUUGAACCGCAUGGUUCAAUAGUGAAAGACGGUUUUGCUGUCACUUAUAGAUGGAUCCGCGCCGCAUUAGCUAGUUGGUAAGGUAACGGCUUACCAAGGCAACGAUGCGUAGCCGACCUGAGAGGGUGAUCGGCAACACUGGAACUGAGACACGGUCCAGACGCCUACGGGAGGCAGCAGUAGGGAAUCUUCCGCAAUGGGCGAAAGCCUGACGUAGCAACGCCGCGUGAGUGAUGAAGGUCUUCGGAUCGUAAAACUCUGUUAUUAGGGAAGAACAAAUGUGUAAGUAACUAUGCACGUCUUGACGGUACCUAAUCAGAAAGCCACGGCUAACUACGU
rnacentral:rRNA from 1 species